CCGUGAUACAGUCUACUGCUCAAUGGGGAGAGGAGGAACCAUCUGGAGGUCACCGUGAUAAAGUAUACUGCUCAAUGGGGAGAGGAGGAACCAUCUGGAGGUCACCGUGAUACAGUCUACUGCUCAAUGGGGAGAGGAGGAACCAUCUGGAGGUCACCGUGAUACAGUCUACUGCUCAAUGGGGAGAGGAGGAACCAUCUGGAGGUGACCGUGAUACAGUCUACUGCUCAAUGGGGAGAGGAGGAACCAUCUGGAGGUCACCGUGAUACAGUCUACUGCUCAAUGGGGAGAGGAGGAACCAUCUGGAGGUCACCGUGAUACAGUCUACUGCUCAAUGGGGAGAGGAGGAACCAUCUGGAGGUGACCGUGAUACAGUCUACUGCUCAAUGGGGAGAGGAGGAACCAUCUGGAGGUCACCGUGAUACAGUCUACUGCUCAAUGGGGAGAGGAGGAACCAUCUGGAGGUCACCGUGAUACAGUCUACUGCUCAAUGGGGAGAGGAGGAACCAUCUGGAGGUCACCGUGAUACAGUCUACUGCUCAAUGGGGAGAGGAGGAACCAUCUGGAGGUCACCGUGAUACAGUCUACUGCUCAAUGGGGAGAGGAGGAACCAUCUGGAGGUCACCGUGAUACAGUCUACUGCUCAAUGGGGAGAGGAGGAACCAUCUGGAGGUGACCGUGAUACAGUCUACUGCUCAAUGGGGAGAGGAGGAACCAUCUGGAGGUCACCGUGAUACAGUCUACUGCUCAAUGGGGAGAGGAGGAACCAUCUGGAGGUCACCGUGAUACAGUCUACUGCUCAAUGGGGAGAGGAGGAACCAUCUGGAGGUCACCGUGAUACAGUCUACUGCUCAAUGGGGAGAGGAGGAACCAUCUGGAGGUGACCGUGAUACAGUCUACUGCUCAAUGGGGAGAGGAGGAACCAUCUGGAGGUCACCGUGAUACAGUCUACUGCUCAAUGGGGAGAGGAGGAACCAUCUGGAGGUGACCGUGAUACAGUCUACUGCUCAAUGGGGAGAGGAGGAACCAUCUGGAGGUCACCGUGAUACAGUCUACUGCUCAAUGGGGAGAGGAGGAACCAUCUGGAGGUGACCGUGAUACAGUCUACUGCUCAAUGGGGAGAGGAGGAACCAUCUGGAGGUCACCGUGAUACAGUCUACUGCUCAAUGGGGAGAGUUUCCUCUGCAAGGCAGCAGCACAACAACACAGGGCACAGUGUCCUUCAC